rnacentral:rRNA from 1 species
UAGUGGCGAACGGGUGAGUAACGCGUGAGCAACCUGCCUUUCAGUGGGGGACAACAGUUGGAAACGACUGCUAAUACCGCAUAAUACAGUUGGGGGACAUCCCCUGGCUGUCAAAGAUUUAUCGCUGAAAGAUGGGCUCGCGUCUGAUUAGCUAGUUGGUGGGGUAACGGCCCACCAAGGCGACGAUCAGUAGCCGGGUUGAGAGACUGAACGGCCACAUUGGGACUGAGAUACGGCCCAGACUCCUACGGGAGGCAGCAGUGGGGAAUAUUGGGCAAUGGGGGAAACCCUGACCCAGCAACGCCGCGUGAAGGAAGAAGGCUUUCGGGUUGUAAACUUCUUUUACCAGGGACGAAAAAAAUGACGGUACCUGGAGAAAAAGCUCCGGCUAACUACGUGCCAGCAGCCGCGGUAAUACGUAGGGAGCAAGCGUUGUCCGGAUUUACUGGGUGUAAAGGGCGUGUAGGCGGAGUGAUAAGUUAGAUGUGAAAUCUGGGGGCUCAACCCUCAAACUGCAUUUAAAACUGUCACCCUUGAGUGAUGGAGAGGCAGGCGGAAUUCCUAGUGUAGCGGUGAAAUGCGUAGAUAUUAGGAGGAACACCAGUGGCGAAGGCGGCCUGCUGGACAUUAACUGACGCUGAGGCGCGAAAGCGUGGGGAGCAAACAGGAUUAGGUACCCUGGUAGUCCACGCUGUAAACGAUGAAUACUAGGUGUGGGGGGUCUGACCCCUUCCGUGCCGGAGUUAACACAAUAAGUAUUCCACCUGGGGAGUACGGCCGCAAGGCUGAA